AACGAACGCUGGCGGCAUGCCUAACACAUGCAAGUCGAACGAACUCUUCGGAGUUAGUGGCGCACGGGUGCGUAACGCGUGGGAAUCUGCCCUUGGGUACGGAAUAACUCAGAGAAAUUUGUGCUAAUACCGUAUAAUGUCUUCGGACCAAAGAUUUAUCGCCCAAGGAGGAGCCCGCGUAAGAUUAGCUUGUUGGUGAG
rnacentral:rRNA from 1 species